rnacentral:rRNA from 1 species
CGGUAAGGCCUUUCGGGGUACACGAGCGGCGAACGGGUGAGUAACACGUGGGUGAUCUGCCCUGCACUCUGGGAUAAGCCUGGGAAACUGGGUCUAAUACCGGAUAUGACCAUUCCAUGCAUGUGGGGUGGUGGAAAGAUUUAUCGGUGCAGGAUGGGCCCGCGGCCUAUCAGCUUGUUGGUGGGGUAAUGGCCUACCAAGGCGACGACGGGUAGCCGACCUGAGAGGGUGACCGGCCACACUGGGACUGAGACACGGCCCAAACUCCUACGGGAGGCAGCAGUGGGGAAUAUUGCACAAUGGGCGGAAGCCUGAUGCAGCGACGGGGCGUGAGGGAUGAAGGCCUUCGGGUUGUAAACCUCUUUCAGCAGGGACGAAGCGUGAGUGACGGUACCUGCAAAAGAAGCACCGGCUAACUACUUGCCAGCCGCCGCGGUA